rnacentral:rRNA from 1 species
GACGAACGCUGGCGGCGUGCUUAACACAUGCAAGUCGAACGAAGAGCGAUGGAAGCUGGCAUCUAUCAGUCUUAGUGGCGAACGGGAGAGGAACGCGUAAUCAACCUGCCCUUCAGAGGGGGACAACAGUGGGAAAAGACUGCUAAUACCGCAUACGCUCUAAUCUGGGGAUCGAGGAUAGCUGAAAGGUGGCGUCUACAUGUCAGCUAUCACUGAAGGAGGUGAUGGCGUCUGAUUAGCUGGUGGGGCGGGUAACGGCCCACCAAGGGGAUGAGUAGUAGCCGGUCUCGGAGGCUGGACGUCCGCAUUGGGACUGAGACACGGCCCAGACUCCUACGAGAGGCAGCAGUGGGGUAUCUUCCGCAAUGGACGAGAGUCUUACGGAGCAACGCCGCGUGAGUGAUGACGGCCUUCCGGUUGUAAAGCUCGGUUACUCGUGACGAAAGGCCUUCUUGCGAAUAGUGAGAAGGAUUGACGGUACCGGAAUAGAAAGCCACGGCUAACUACGUG